UACGAAGGGGGCUAGCGUUGCUCGGAAUUACUGGGCGUAAAGGGAGCGUAGGCUGACAUUUAAGUCAGAGGUGAAAUCCCGGAGCUUAACUUCGGAACUGCCUUUGAUACUGGGUGUCUUGAGUGUGAGAGAGGUAUGUGGAACUCCGAGUGUAGAGGUGAAAUUCGUAGAUAUUCGGAAGAACACCAGUGGCGAAGGCGACAUACUGGCUCAUUACUGACGCUGAGGCUCGAAAGCGUGGGGAGCAAACAGG
rnacentral:rRNA from 1 species